GCUGGUGGUGGUGACGUGGGGCAUGAAUGCAAUGUACUUGGUGGACCUGUGGUCAAGGACCCCUGCAGCUGCUAGGUCUUGGGUCCGCUCGAUGAAUAACAAUGAGAGAUCUUCCUCCACUAGCAAGUGAGAAUCGGAUUUGAAGAGGAGAGGCACAAAAGGAAAUUGAAAUGGGAAGAAGAUAGUCGAUCUGAGGUAGGAGGAAGAGGAAAUCCACGGUGGUGCGGUGCAUCUCCGGCCGACGCUUGCAACCGGAGAAUCACAUCCACGAAGUCAUCCUCCAAGACGGUCUCCAAGCAAUGGCAACAUACACAGCAAAAUUUGUCCGAGAGAUGCGCGAGGUCGAGGCGAGGCAUUGCUCAUUCACGGUGCGCUUGCUGCCAGAGAAAGGCGCGUGGGGGCUAUGGUGCCACAAGCAUGUUUCGACCAUGUUCUUCAAUCAUGAGGGAACGAUUAAUUAGAUUUCAUAUUUAUUCAUUUCCUAACAAGAGCACUUUCUGUUUUUUUUCCAUAUUGAAACUGUUUUUUACAUUCUUCUCGUGUUAGGUUGCCCAGCCAACCGUUUCUUCAUAUGGUUAGACAAUUAUAUGACAGUCAGAGAAACUAAGAUUUAACUCCAUCUUGUUAGGACUGGGACUGCUGACGGUUGGGACCGCAUUCACAUGAGAACCUCCUAUUUCCAUUCAAAAUUGUGUUGAGAUUGGGAUUGGGAUUGGGUAAUUUGUGAAUGCUUUACUUUUGGCAAUUCUACCGCUCUGUACUGAAGACUAUUUGGAUUUUGAUGUAUCCCAGCAAUACUCCUCGCUGCCCUCCUCUCAGUUAUUCAGCUUUGGCAUGAGUAAGAGGGGACAAGAUUGUGAUUCGCAUAUGUAUAUCCGAUAGAAGUAGCUGGUCUCACUGCUCAUAUGUUGUGAUCAUGGGCGAACUCUACAGAGAAAAUAUCCAACACAUUGAACGGGCAGUUGCUACACUGACGGAAGGACUCUUUAUAAGCAGAAAAGGAAUGGAAGGGUAAUUUUUGUACCAACGGAACGGCGUGCCGGCGCUUCCACAAGAUGCAGUUGGGGCAGCUGGUGUGGCUGAUGUCUCCUUUUAUCUUUAUGUGUAGUCUGAAGUGGUACACUGAAGUAUGUUGCCAUUCAGUUUUAUUCUCAUGUAGGCUCCUCUGAAAAUAAAUUUGAAUUGAAAAUAAGAUGUUUCAAAGUUUCUUUUGAAUAGUUUGUACACUAAAAGCACGUUCACGUGUUUCUCAUAUACACUUAGUGAUGAUUUACAUUAACUGAACUAUUUGCUUUGUACCACAUGUUUACUUUGUAAUGAAAC